CUACAUCUGUUUACCAGUCUGAGCUUCGAUGUGUUAUUGUGACGGUUCGGAACACUUUUCUUGCUGUUCUGAAUCUGAACAUCCCGACUACGCUGUCACUGAACGACGAAAAAGACCGAAUCCUCAAAGCGAUCAAGGAUAAACUGAUUGAAAAAGGGUUCCAACAAAAUAUAACUUUUUGCCUGGUGAACAACAGCUCACCAGAUAAUGUGU